CUUUUAAGUUCAAAACUCUGAGGUUCAGAGGCCUACUUGGGUGAUUAGGUGGGGCCAGAUUUUGCCAGGUCACAACCAAGAGGUUAGGGGAGGGGAGGCUGGUGCUUUUACUUAUUUCCCCACCUGCAGCAUUUGACAUCUCUACUCCAGACACUGGGCCAGGCAACAGAUGAAGGAUCAGUUCCAGAGAACAAAUGAGAAGGGAAUGGGAGAGAUGAAACAGGGAGAAGUAAGAUCACAGUUUGGAAUCAAGCUGACCAGGUUGACUAUGGCUCUACAUUUUACCAGCUGGUGACCCAAGACAUGUAUGCAUCUUCGCUGAGAGCCACCCACAUCUCUGUGUCAUCCUGACCUCCCAGACCACAGCUCCAGAAUUUUCCACAGCCCCCUCCAACACACUGCUAAUGGGGGUCAAGCAGACAGCCCCAGCAGAAGUAGAGAGGUGUGCCCCCAGGCAGCCUGCCACCCAAGCAAAAUCAGCCUUGGAAGAACUUGAACAAAGGAAUUUCACCUUGAACUUCAAUCCGUGUCAUCCCUCCCCAGUCGGCCCUGAUCUGGGGCUGUGAUUCAACAUGGCUGACUCAGAUAGAGCUCUGGAUCCCUUGAGCUGAGGUCUGCGGUCAGGCCACUUUGAACUCACUCCAAAAUCUUGGCAAAUCAGGUCACCACUGAAGUCAGGAUGUCAACUCCUGUCCACGCACUGGCUCUGUUGUUUUCCUCACUGACCUGCCUCCACAACCCUCCCCAUCACACCACACCCCAGACCCAUCCCAGGCCCCCCCACACACCCUCUCCCUGCAUCCACCACUUCCUCAGACAACAGGAUCAAUCAUACAACAUCAGUCAACAAAACUACAACCUGGGCUUCCCUAGUGGUCCAGUGGUUCAGAAUCCCCCUUGCAAUGCAAGGGACACAGGUUCGAUCACUGGUACUGAAAGAUCCCACGUGCUGAGGACCAACUAAGCCCACGCGUC